CGUGCUUCAUACAUGCAAGUCGAACGAGAAGCUGACUUCGGUCAGUGGAAAGUGGCGGACGGGUGAGUAACACGUAGGAAAUCUGCCCUUUGAGGGGGACAACAGUUGGAAACGACUGCUAAUACCCCAUAUGAGCUAAGCUGAAAUGCUUAUCUUGAAAACUCCGGUGCCAAAGGAUGAGCCUGCGCCUGAUUAGCUAGUUGGUGGUGUAAUGGACUACCAAGGCGACGAUCAGUAGCUGGUUUGAGAGGAUGAUCAGCCACAAUGGGACUGAGACACGGCCCAUACUCCUACGGGAGGCAGCAGUAGGGAAUUUUGCGCAAUGGGGGAAACCCUGAACCGCAGCAACGCCGCGUGAUUGAUGAAGCCCUUCGGGGUGUAAAGAUCUGUCAGUAGGGACGAAUUUUGACGGUACCUACAGAGGAAGCACCGGCUAACUCCGUGCCAGCCGCUGC
rnacentral:rRNA from 1 species